ACCUGGGUAGUUUAAUAAAAAUAUUGAUUUGUGGUGUCAAAGAUAUGAUGUAUCAUCCUAGGUC
rnacentral:tRNA from 1 species